UACGUAGGGGGCAAGCGUUGUCCGGAAUCAUUGGGCGUAAAGCGCGCGUAGGCGGCCAGAUAAGUCCGGUGUGAAGGUCACAGGCUCAACCUGUGAAUGCCGCUGGAAACUGUCUGGCUUGAGUCCGGAAGGGGCGAGUGGAAUUCCUGGUGUAGCGGUGAAAUGCGCAGAUAUCAGGAGGAACACCAAUGGCGAAGGCAGCUCGCUGGAACGGUACUGACGCUGAGGCGCGAAAGCGUGGGGAGCGAACAGG
rnacentral:rRNA from 1 species